rnacentral:lncRNA from 1 species
UUGAAAACCCGAAAGGGCGAUCCAGGCAAAAGUUAGAGACAUUGAAAAGAGAAUUUGCAUCCCGCUAGAUUGAACACCUCACACUGGGGCAAUCUAGGCAAAAAUUAGGGAUUUGGCAAGUAACUGCAUCUUGACAAGACUGUACUCUAUAUCUGUCAUCCGUCAGGGAUUCUCGAUUCGUCGUCGACUGAAGCUCUGAAUACAUCGAAAAUUCAGAAUGGUAGAGGAAAG